GGGGAAUUUUGGACAAUGGGGGAAACCCUGAUCCAGCCAUUCCGCGUGUGUGAAGAAGGCCUUCGGGUUGUAAAGCACUUUUGGCGGGAAAGAAACGGCGUCGACUAAUACUCGGCGUAACUGACGGUACCCGCAGAAUAAGCACCGGCUAACUACGUGCCAGCAGCCGCGGUAAUACGUAGGGUGCAAGCGUUAAUCGGAAUUACUGGGCGUAAAGCGUGCGCAGGCGGUUCGGAAAGAAAGAUGUGAAAUCCCAGGGCUCAACCUUGGAACUGCAUUUUUAACUACCGGACUAGAGUAUGUCAGAGGGGGGUGGAAUUCCACGUGUAGCAGUGAAAUGCGUAGAUAUGUGGAGGAACACCGAUGGCGAAGGCAGCCCCCUGGGAUAAUACUGACGCUCAUGCACGAAAGCGUGGGGAGCAAAC
rnacentral:rRNA from 1 species